rnacentral:rRNA from 1 species
AUGACCCCAGGCCAGUCAGGAUUACCAGCUGAGUUUAAGCAUAUCAAUAAGUGGAGGAAAAGAAACUUACAAGGAUUACCUUAGUAACGGCGAGCGAAUCGGGAACAACCCAGGCUUAGAGUCAGGCGGCUCCGUAGUCCGAUUGUAGUCUAGAAAAGCAUCCUCAAUGUCGAACCAGGUCCAAGUCCCUUGGAAAGGGGACCUAGAGAGGGUGAGAGUCCCAUUAUUGUUCGACCCUAUCUCACCACAAGGCACUGUCUAUGAGUUGAGUUGUUUAGGAAUGCAGCCCAAAUCAGGCGGUUAAUUCUAUCCAAGGAUAAAUACUGGCGAGAGACCGAUAGAGAACAAGUAAUGCAAGGGAAUGAUGAAAAGGAAUUUGAAAAGAGAGUCAAAGAGUUCUUGAAAUAUUUGAUAGAAAAGCGAAUAGGGGUCAGCAAUGCACCCCAGUCGGAUAUGGAACAACCACGAUCCAGUCCGCCAAUCGAAUUGGGGAGUGGACCAGUAUGGAUUGGGGGAGGCCUAAAUCAAAGCUCUCGAUACACUCCUAGAACACCGUUUCCUCGAUUAUGGCAAGAAGCAUGAUCAUCUGGCGUGUUUCGACAUCUGCGCACUCUAGACGCUGGCUUGUGGGCUACCCAUUUGACUCAUCUUGAAACACGGACCAAGGAGUCUGAUAUGUGUGUGCGUCAAUGGGUGAGUAAAAUCAUAAGGUGCAAAGAAGCUGAUUGGUGGGAUUCCCCUAAGGGGUACACUGCCGACCAACCUUGAUCUUCUAAGAAGGGUUCGAGUGUGAGCAUACUUUUCGGGACCCGAAAGACGAUGAACUAUGCUUGAGAGGGGUAAAGCCAGAGAAAAUUCUGGUGGAGUCCCAUAGCUAUACUAACAUAUAGAUCAUUCGUCUAACUUGGGUAUAGGGGCGAAAGAAUAAUUGAACCAUAUAGUAGCUGGUUCCCUAUGAAGCUUCCCUCAGGAUAGAUAGAGCUCGCGUGCGAGUUCUAUCAGGUAAAGCCAAUAAUUAGAGGACCCUGGGGCGCAACUCCCUUGACCUAUUCUCAAACUUUAAAUAAGUAGGACGGUGCGACUGGUUUGUUGAGCUGUGCUACAAAAUUAAGAGCUCCAAGUGGGAUAUUUUUGGUAAGCAGAACUAACGAUGUGGUAUGUACUAAAAUAUGGGUUACGGUGCCAAAAUACGCUCUAACCUAGAUCCCACAAAGGGUGUUGGUCUAUUAAGACAGCAUGAUAGUAGUCAUGGAAUUCAAAAUCUGCUAAGGAGUGUGUAAUAACUCACCUGCCGAAUAACCUAGUCCCAAAAAUUAAUGGUGCUUAAUCACGCGACCUACACCCAGUUGUCGGGGAAAAUGCCAGGCCACGAUGUGUAUGAGGGUACAACGGUCACUACAAAACCUUGGGCGCGAGCCCGGGUGAAGUGGCCAUCAGUGCAAAUCUUAGUGGUAAUAGCAAAUAUUCAAAUGAGAACUUUGAAGGCUGAAGAGGGGAAAGGUUCCAUGUGAAUGAUAGUUUAACAUAGUUUAGUCAAUCAUAAGAUUCAGGAGAAAUUAGUGAUGUGUAUGAAUGGAUUUACGAGAUUCCCACUGUACCUGACUACUAUCCAGUGAAACCACAGCCAAGGGAACGGGCUUGGCAGAAUAAACAAGGAAAGAAUACUAUAUUGACUCUAGUAUGACUUUGUGAAAUGACUUGAGAGGUGUUGUAUAAGAGGGAACCAAAAGGCUAAAGUGAAAUACCGCUACUUUUAACAUUUUUUAAUUAUUUUGUGAACCAGGAGAGGGGCACUGCCCCUCUUUUUGGACCCAAGGCUCGCUCUGCGGGCUGAUCUGGGUGGUAGACAUUUUCAGGUGGGGAGUUUUGCUGGGGAGGCACACUUGUUAAAAGAUAAUGCAGGUGUCCUAAGCUGAGCUCAAUAAGAAUAGAAAUAUCAUGUAGAACAUAAGGGUAAAAACUCGUUUGAUUCUCAUUUCUAGUUCGAAUAAGAAGCAUGAAAGUGUGGCCUAAUGAUCCUUUAGACCUUUAAAAUUUGAAUCUAGAGGUGUCAGAAAAGUUACCACAGGGAUAAUGGGCUUGUGGCAGCCAAGCUUUCAUAGCGACGCUGCUUUUUGAUCCUUCGAUGUUGGCUCUUCCUAUCAUUAUAAAGCAGAAUUCACCAAGUGUUGGAUUGUUCACCCACCAAUAAGGAAUGUGAGCUGGGUUUAGACCGUUGUGAGAAAGGUUAGUUUUACUCUACUGAUGACAGUGUCACAAUAGUAAUUCAACCUAGUAUAAGAGAAAUCGUCGAUUCAAACAAUUGGUUAUCGUGCUUGGUUAAAAAUCCAGUGGCGCAAAGCUAUCAUGUUUUGGAUUAUGAAUGAACUCCUCUAAGUCAGAAUCUGGGCUAAAAGUGACCCACAGUAGCGGCCUCAACCCCCAAGGGAAUGUGUCAUUGGCUAAUCCAUCGCAGUAUACGAGUAGCGGUGGUCGCCUUAAAGUACUAUUUCCAUCGAGCGGUGGGUAGAAUACUUUGUAGACGACUUAAGUUUGUUAUGGGGUAUUGUGAUGAUAGGCGAAUUUACACGCCUAUAUCAAUAUAUUUUGCCCAUAUUU